rnacentral:tRNA from 1 species
GGGAGACCGUACCCACUAGAUUCUGAAAGCAAUCAGCAAAUAAGAAAAAAGUAGGUUAUCCCAAGGUCGUGCAAGGGAAAAACUGGAAGAAACUUUCAAACUAUUAGAGUCGGUUCGUACCUAAGACUAACUUUCCGAAAGGGGAGGUAAAACUUAGAAAAAACCAGACAAGGGCUAUUAGCUCAGUUGGUUAGAGCGCACGGCUGAUAACCGUGAGGUCUCUGGUUCAAGUCCAGAAUGGCCCACUGGAUUAAUCUAAAAAAUUAAUCAGCAAAAGCGCGUAAAAAUUGGUAAAAAGAAUCGGCAUCCUAUCUAAAACAGUAAAAACUGUGAUAGAGGGAAUGCUGGUUGAAAAACCAGUAAGAACCUUGAAAACUGCAUAAAACAAGAGAAAAGCAGGGAUAAAACCAAAG